AGAAUUAUAGUUUAAAUUAAAACAAUUGAUUUGCAUUCAAUAAAUAUUGUUAACAUACAAUUUAUUUUA
rnacentral:tRNA from 1 species